UGGUAACUGAACAUCACUAAUUUGCAUUCUGUCACAGCCUUUGGUCAGGUGCAUCAGUACCAGAGACCACUACGGUUCCUCAGACUGUACUUGGUACAGUUUUGAUCUACAUACGACUGGUGUUUCAAACUUUGGGUCCCAUUCCCAGUGAGAGUGCAGUCCUCAAUGCUGCUAACACCCUAUUGGACUCUAGAGUCAGGACCACCCUGAAUAAUCCAGUGAAAAUUCAAAAUGUUACUUAUGAGAGAAUAAACAGCACUGCAUUUGCUAUCAACUUUGGAUAUGGCAUCAGCAAUGUUGUAAUGUCAUCACAUUUUACCCUCAGAAAUGACACAUAUAUCUUAAUUGAGAGUUCUGUCAAUAAACUGCUCAACAUGAUUUUGAGCAACAACAAUACAGUUCCAUUUACAUUUGGACCUUUAAAAUUUUUGGAUGGAACCAAUGAAAUUCAGGCUGAUGUACAAUAUGUUUUUAAUGAGAGUGACUUGAAAUCACCAAGUCUCUUCCUGAGGUGUCCCAUUUCCUUUCCAGGUCUACAGCCAACCACAGCAACUAUUACAGAAAUAACAAGUAAUAAUACAACAACAGCAUCAGCAGGAGGCUUUCCUGGAUGGGCUUUAGCAAUCAUUAUACCCUGCGGUAUUGCAAUCAUCCUUGUUCCACUCUGGAUCCUUCUUUGUUGUUUGCUGUGUGGCUGUUGCGCAGCCCUCAGGAGACGUUGGAGAAGACGGCAAUCUUACAAUGUUCAGUACACUACACGCAAUGGUCUAUUCUGAGUGUAUUUGCACAAAUAAUGAUUAACAUGUAUUAUUUAAAUGUUUGAAAAGUUGUUCUGUUACGAAAUUAAUGGGUUUUUGAGUUACAAUGUAAGAAUAGUUCAACUAACACAGUGUAUGUUUCGUACAGACAGUAUGGUUCUUAUUGUUUUGUGAAUCUGCUUGUAUUUAUUAACUUAUUUUUAAUUAUUCAAUUUACUGUAUUUAAUUUCUUCAUUUAUGCAAAGGUUUUAUAACAUUAGUCAUUAUGUUAUUAAAUUAUUUAACAUUAUAUUUAUUAAACAUGUGUGUACCAUUUACCGUUCUGCUACUCUGACCUGC
rnacentral:lncRNA from 1 species